UACGGAGGGGGCUAGCGUUGUUCGGAUUUACUGGGCGUAAAGCGCACGUAGGCGGAUCGUUAAGUCGGGGGUGAAAUCCUGGAGCUCAACUCCAGAACUGCCUUCGAUACUGGCGAUCUUGAGUCCGGAAGAGGCGAGUGGAAUUCCUGGUGUAGCGGUGGAAUGCGCAGAUAUCAGGAGGAACACCAAUAGCGAAGGCAGCUCGCUGGGACGUUACUGACACUGAGGCGCGAAAGCGUGGGGAGCAAACAGG
rnacentral:rRNA from 1 species